GACGAACGCUGGCGGCGUGCCUAACACAUGCAAGUCGAACGGGGAGUUAUUUAUAACUCCUAGUGGCGAACGGGUGAGUAACGCGUAGACAACCUGCCUCUAAAUUGGGGACAACACAGCGCAAGUGGUGCUAAUACCGAAUGUGGUAACUUGGUCGCAUGACUAGAUUAAGCAAAAUGGCCUCUAUAUAUAAGCUAUCGAUUAGAGAUGGGUCGGCGUCUGAUUAGCUAGUUGGUGAGGUAAUGGCUCACAAAGGCGACGAUCAGUAGCCGGUCUGAGAGGAUGAACGGCCACACUGGGACUGAGACACGGCCCAGACUCCUACGGGAGGCAGCAGUGGGGAAUCUUCCGCAAUGGACGAAAGUCUGACGGAGCAACGCCGCGUGAGUGAAGAAGGUCUUCGGAUUGUAAAGCUCUGUCGUUUGGGACGAACGUGGAUUGUGUGAAUAAUGCAGUCUAAUGACGGUACCAAAGGAGGAAGCCACGGCUAACUACGUGCCAGCCGCCGCAGUAA
rnacentral:rRNA from 1 species